rnacentral:misc_RNA from 1 species
CUGAAUUGUCAACACGAGUUGUUGCUGGUCCUCAAAUGGGGGCAUGUGCACGCUCUGUUCACACAUCCACUCACACCUGUGCACCCUCUGUAGUUCUGUGGCUUGGUGGACUCUGUCCUCCUGCGGUGGUUCUACAUCUUUACACACACUCUGUAACAAAGUCUCAUGGAAUGUAUGCCGCGUUUAACGCAAUAUAAUA